GCGAACGCUGGCGGCAGGCUUAACACAUGCCAGUCGAGCGCCCCGCAAGGGGAGCGGCAGACGGGAGAGUAACACGUGGGAACAUACCUUUUGGUUCGGAACAACUGAGGGAAACUUCAGCUAAUACCGGAUAAGCCCUUACGGGGAAAGAUUUAUCGCCGAAAGAUUGGCCCGCGUCUGAUUAGCUAGUUGGUGAGGUAACGGCUCACCAAGGCGACGAUCAGUAGCUGGUCUGAGAGGAUGAUCAGCCUCACUGGGACUGAGACACGGCCCAGACUCCUGCGGGAGGCAGCAGUGGGGAAUAUUGGACAAUGGGGGCAACCCUGAUCCAGCCAUGCCGCGUGAGUGAUGAAGGCCUUAGGGUUGUAAAGCUCUUUUGCCCGGGAAGAUAAUGACGGUACCGGGAGAAUAAGCCCCGGCUAACUUCGUG
rnacentral:rRNA from 1 species